UACGUAGGUGGCAAGCGUUGUCCGGAUUUACUGGGCGUAAAGCGUAUGCAGGCGGGCCCUUAAGUAGGAAGUGAAAGGUUGGAGCUCAACUCUAACACUGCUCCCUAUACUGAGGGUCUUGAGUGCCGGAGAGGAAGAGGGAACGACACGUGUAGCGGUGAAAUGCGUUGAGAUGUGUCGGAACACCUAAUGGCGAAAGCACUCUUCUGGACGGAAACUGACGCUGAGAUACGAAAGCCAAGGUAGCAAACAGG
rnacentral:rRNA from 1 species